GCAGGUGAGCAGCAUGAAUCUGCCACUCCACAUUUACUGACAUAAACCAAGAAAAACAAACAGGUCUUUUGGGCAUGGGCUUGAGACCCCAGGCACCUGAUGUGUUGAGACUAUCACCUGCCCACGCUGAGAUCUGACCUCCGUUUGGUGCCAUGGUUUGGCUGAGCCCCGGGCACUGCGCUAUAAUAAGGACAGAAGCUGAUGUACUGUAAGACCGAAGUGCUUACCAGUAUUACGGCCCUUUCUUUUUUUAGGCAAGCAGUUUCCAAUGAAAUAAGAACCUAAACCAGCCUUCUCCUAUGCUUUCUUUGUCAAGAAUAAACCAUAUUAACGUA